rnacentral:rRNA from 1 species
AGAGGGGGCAAGCGUUGCUCGGAAUCACUGGGCGUAAAGGGCGCGUAGGCGGGUCCGCAAGUCGGUCGUGAAAUCCUUCGGCUCAACUGAAGGGGGUCGGUCGAUACUGCGGGUCUUGAGGGAUGCAGAGGAGACUGGAAUUCCCGGUGUAGCGGUGAAAUGUGUAGAGAUCGGGAGGAACACCGGUGGCGAAGGCGGGUCUCUGGGCAUCUCCUGACGCUGAGGCGCGAAAGCGUGGGGAGCAAACGGGAUUAGAUACCCCGGUAGUCCACGCGGUAAACGAUGACGACUAGGUGUGGGGGGGUUUAGGCCUUUCCGUGCCGCAGCUAACGCAUUAAGUCGUCCGCCUGGGGAGUACGGCCGCAAGGUUGAA